CUGCGGCCUAUCAGCUUGUUGGUGAGGUAAUGGCCCACCAAGGCGAUUACAGGUACGGGCUCUGAGAGGAGAAGCCCGGAGAUGGGUACUGAGACAAGGACCCAGGCCCUAUGGGGCGCAGCAGGCGAGAAAACUUUGCAAUGUGCGAAAGCACGACAAGGUUAAUCCGAGUGAUUUCUGCUAAAGGAAUCUUUUGUUAGUUCUAAAAAUACUAGUGAAUAAGGGGUGGGCAAGUUCUGGUGUCAGCCGCCGCGGUAAAACCAGCACCUCAAGUGGUCAGGAGGAUUAUCGGGCCUAAAGCAUCCGUAGCCUGUUCUAUAAGUUUGCGGUUAAAUCUAUACGCUCAACGUAUAGGCUGCCGUAAAUACUGUAGAACUAGGGAGUGGGAGAGGUAGACGGUACUCGAUAGGAAGGGGUAAAAUCCUUUGAUCUAUUGAUGACCACCUGUGGCGAAGGCGGUCUACCAGAACACGU
rnacentral:rRNA from 2 species